rnacentral:piRNA from 1 species
UGAGAUAUGUUUCUUCUAUUCCAAGUU